AGAAAUCUGUGUUCACACCAAUUAGCCUGUUUUUGGAACACAGCACAAUUGAUUAUGAUUACUCCAAUGAUGACGACUGAUAUCUAGAUAUGUUCAUACUGUGUUUUUCUAAGACUCAACAUUCCGUGUUAUUCCUUGUCUGUACCUCCUUGGACCAAGUUGUGUUUUAAAUUUAGAUUGUUUAUUUCUUUAUAUUGUUAAAUGUUUUUGUUGUUAUUUAUUGAUUUACUACUGCAGCAUGAAAAAGUUAAAGCACUCAUCUAGGCACGUAGAUAAUAUAAUUCACUACCAGAAUCAAACAUAUUUAUUUCUGCAUUGUUUAUCAUAAUUUUUAAUCAAAGCAAGCUUUUACCAUACUUUGUUGAAAAUAAAAUGGAUAUCAAUUUUUUUCUCUGAU
rnacentral:misc_RNA from 1 species